UACGUAGGGGGCAAGCGUUGUCCGGAUUUAUUGGGCGUAAAGAGCGUGUAGGCGGCUUUACAGGUCCGUUGUGAAAACUCGAGGCUCAACCUCGAGACGCCGGUGGAAACCGUAAAGCUAGAGUCCGGAAGAGGAGAGUGGAAUUCUCGGUGUAGCGGUGAAAUGCGUAGAUAUCGAGAGGAACACCUGCGGCGAAGGCGGGUUGCUGGGCGUGACACUGACGCUGAUGCGCGAAAGCCAGGGGAGCGAACGGG
rnacentral:rRNA from 1 species